GGUGCCUCUCUGUGGUAGAUGAAGGGAGACUAUGCUGCACAGGGAGACCCAAGCUUCGUCAGAUGCAGAGGUUGGGGAGGACCUUGAACUGAUGGGACCUAGGAUAUCCGGUGAGAGAUGGAGCUAGGGCUGUGUGAACCGAGGGUGGGCCAGUGACCGGGACGUGGGACAGCACCACGGACUGAGAAGCCGCCUGCGGCUGAGGGACACACCAAGGCUGGCCCCGAGGACAGUGGCUUGGCCGUUCGCGGGGGAGGCCGGAGCCGGGUGGGGAGCAGGGCUGGCCGCAGUCCCCCAAGUCGGGGGACAGGGCUGAUUCCAGUCAGGAGAUGGGGCUGAUUUCAGUUCGGAGGCAGGGCUGACCGCAGUCAAGGGACCCAGCUGGCUCCAGAGGAAGGGACUAGCCUCAGAGGAGCCAAGGCUAGCUCCAGCCCAGAGUAAGGGUCUGGCUUCAGUCAGGGGACAGGGACAGGCCGACCGUCGGCUGCGGCGGGGACUGAGGCUCUGAAGCAGCUGCGGUGACACGGCGACUGGCGCUGGAGCGCCUAGGGGCCGUCGGACGCCGCCGGGGCGGGCGGGCAGCCCUGAGGGGAGCGUCUCUCGGUCCUGCGCACCUUGAGGCUCCGGCGGACCGGCCUCUCGAUGAUGGUUGCUCUUCGUCAUCCUGUUUCAUCCUGGCAACAAGAACCCUGACUAUGACAGAAAUCUACCACUGUUUCUGGAGAACAAGGGCACUUAGAUGCAGACUCGCCUAUAGGAAUGCAUAGCCAGAAACUACUGGUGCACCAUAAUGCCAGCAUUUCAGCCUAGGAGAUGACCCCCACAGAUCCAAACAGCCAGUUCAGUAAAAGGAGCUGCAUGCAAAGCAGCAUGCGCACUGCAGGCUGCACAUUCUUGGAGGACCAGAGAUGGGAGGAAAUGCUCCCAGGCGUGCCCUCUGCAGGACAGUGAUGAAACUAGAUGCAUUUUCGUGGACCAGAGUUCCAGGAAAGGAACUGUACCUUUGACUGAGCCCUUGGUAAGGAUGAUUAACUCAGAACCUCCAUGGUUGUGAAGGAUUUCAAAUGCUGCAAGUCCAGAGCCAAAUUCUCUUGGGAUGUCUUUAGCCCUUGUAAUAGCCAUUUUAUUGUCCCUAUCUAUACCCAACAUAACAUGUUUGCUGCCAUUAGGCAAAUCCUUUGGAAUAUGCAAACACCUGGCUCCUACCAACCAAAAGAAGAAUGCCAUUAGUUAGCACCACAGACCUGUGGCAGAAACUCCCCCCUUGGCUU